CCUACGGGCGGCAGCAGUGGGGAAUAUUGCACAAUGGGGGAAACCCUGAUGCAGCGACGCCGCGUGAGUGAAGAAGUAUUUCGGUAUGUAAAGCUCUAUCAGCAGGGAAGAAGAAAGACGGUACCUGACUAAGAAGCCCCGGCUAACUACGUGCCAGCAGCCGCGGUAAUACGUAGGGGGCAAGCGUUAUCCGGAUUUACUGGGUGGAAAGGGAGCGUAGACGGCUGUGCAAGUCUGAAGUGAAAGCCCAGGGCUCAACCCUGGGACUGCUUUGGAAACUGUGGAGCUAGAGUGCUGGAGAGGUAAGUGGAAUUCCCAGUGUAGCGGUGAAAUGGGUAGAUAUUAGGAGGAAAACCAGGGGCGAAGGCGGCUUACUGGACAGUAACUGACGUUGAGGCUCGAAAGCGUGGGGAGCAAACAGGAUUAGAUACCCUAGUAGUC
rnacentral:rRNA from 1 species